rnacentral:rRNA from 1 species
CCUACGGGUGGCAGCAGUGAGGAAUAUUGGUCAAUGGCCGGGAGGCUGAACCAGCCAAGUCGCGUGAGGGAAGACGGCCCUACGGGUUGUAAACCUCUUUUGUCAGGGAGCAAGGUGCAGGUCGGGACCUGCUGUGAGAGUACCUGAAGAAAAAGCAUCGGCUAACUCCGUGCCAGCAGCCGCGGUAAUACGGAGGAUGCGAGCGUUAUCCGGCUUUAUUGGGUUUAAAGGGUGCGCAGGUGGAGGCACAAGUCAGCGGUAAAAUCGCGGGGCUCAACCCCGCUCCGCCGUUGAAACUGUGUGCCUUGAGUGCGCGAAGGGUAGGCGGAAUGCGUGGUGUAGCGGUGAAAUGCAUAGAUAUCACGCAGAACUCCGAUCGCGAAGGCAGCCUACCGGCGCGCAACUGACGCUCAUGCACGAAAGCGUGGGUAUCGAAUAGGAUUAGAUACCCUGGUAGUC